CCGGCCUGUGCCCUCCGUCUGUGGCGGGGACUCGGGCGGGGAGCGGUGGGAACUCUCUUCCUGGGCCACGACGGGGACAUUGUUUCCCGCCUGACCUUCCCCUGCCCCGGCUGAGUCCGGCAGGACAGGCCGCCGGAGAGGACACUGCCCGCCUUGUCUGCGGCCUGGCGAGCCGGCCUCACAGCAGGCCCUGUGUCCCUGUGUCCAGCCUGGAUGGCCAGCUGCCCGCUGGGGAGGGGAUGGGCGCAGUGCCCUGGGGUCCCACCUGCUAGGUCGGCUUCCAGUCCCAGCUCUGCUGUUUCCUGGGUGGGUCCCUGGAAUAGAAAACCAGGGAGGGGACCGCCGUGGGACCUAGAACUGGGUGGUCAUUUGAAUCCAGCUCUGCCACCACCUGCUUCGUUUUGCCCUCUCCGCACCUGGUUUCCAAACAUGGGAAGGGGAAACUGCACGUGCAAAGGCCCUGAGGGUCCUGGCAGCAGAGACCACGUCCCAGCAGGAGCGGCUCCAGGCCAUAGCAGAGAAGCGGAAGCGGCAGGCGGAGAUCGAGAACAAGCGCCGGCAGCUGGAGGACGACCGGAGGCAGCUGCAGCACCUGAAGUCCAAGGCGUUGCGGGAGCGCUGGCUGCUGGAGGGGACGCCGUCCUCGGCCUCGGAGGGCGACGAGGACCUGAGGAGGCAGAUGCAGGAGGACCAGCAGAAGGCGCAGCUCCUGGAGGGCUCCAUCUCCAGGUGGGCGGGCAGAGCGCGGCCGGACCCCGACCCU